rnacentral:rRNA from 1 species
UACAGAGGGUGCGAGCGUUAAUCGGAAUUACUGGGCGUAAAGCGCGCGUAGACGGUUUUGUAAGUCAGAUGUGAAAUCCCCGGGCUCAACCUGGGAACUGCAUUUGAAACUGCAUGGCUAGAGUACGGUAGAGGGAAGUGGAAUUUCCGGUGUAGCGGUGAAAUGCGUAGAUAUCGGAAGGAACACCAGUGGCGAAAGCGACUUCCUGGACCAGUACUGACGUUCAUGUGCGAAAGCGUGGGGAGCAAACAGG